GACGAACGCUGGCGGCGUGCUUAACACAUGCAAGUCGAGCGGUAAGGCCCUUUCGGGGGUACGACGAGCGGCGAACGGGUGAGUAACACGUGGGUGACCUGCCCUCAGCUCUGGGAUAAGCCUGGGAAACCGGGUCUAAUACCGGAUAUGACUCCAUGACGCAUGUUGGUGGGGUGGAAAGCCUUGUGCGGCUGAGGAUGGGCCCGCGGCCUAUCAGCUUGUUGGUGGGGUGAGGCCUACCAAGGCGACGACGGGUAGCCGGCCUGAGAGGGCGACCGGCCACACUGGGACUGAGACACGGCCCAGACUCCUACGGGAGGCAGCAGUGGGGAAUCUUGCGCAAUGGGCGAAAGCCUGACGCAGCGACGCCGCGUGAGGGAUGACGGCC
rnacentral:rRNA from 1 species